rnacentral:rRNA from 1 species
CCUACGGGAGGCAGCAGUGGGGAAUUUUGGACAAUGGGCGCAAGCCUGAUCCAGCAAUGCCGCGUGCAGGAUGAAGGCCUUCGGGUUGUAAACUGCUUUUGUACGGAGCGAAACGGUCUGCUUUAAUACAGUGGGCUAAUGACGGUACCGUAAGAAUAAGCACCGGCUAACUACGUGCCAGCAGCCGCGGUAAUACGUAGGGUGCAAGCGUUAAUCGGAAUUACUGGGCGUAAAGCGUGCGCAGGCGGUUAUAUAAGACAGAUGUGAAAUCCCCGGGCUCAACCUGGGACCUGCAUUUGUGACUGUAUAGCUAGAGUACGGUAGAGGGGGAUGGAAUUCCGCGUGUAGCAGUGAAAUGCGUAGAUAUGCGGAGGAACACCGAUGGCGAAGGCAAUCCCCUGGACCUGUACUGACGCUCAUGCACGAAGACGUGGGAGGACGAACAGGAGUAGUAUACCUACGGUAGUACCGACCGACCCGUAACCGACUAGUCACUGGUUGUUGGGUUCGUUC